rnacentral:rRNA from 1 species
GAUGAACGCUGGCGGCGUGCUUAACACAUGCAAGUCGAACGAUGAACCUCACUUGUGGGGGGAUUAGUGGCGAACGGGUGAGUAACACGUGAGUAACCUGCCCUUGACUCUGGGAUAAGCCUGGGAAACCGGGUCUAAUACUGGAUACGACCUUCUGGCGCAUGCCAUGUUGGUGGAAAGCUUUUGUGGUUUUGGAUGGACUCGCGGCCUAUCAGCUUGUUGGUGGGGUAAUGGCCUACCAAGGCGACGACGGGUAGCCGGCCUGAGAGGGUGACCGGCCACACUGGGACUGAGACACGGCCCAGACUCCUACGGGAGGCAGCAGUGGGGAAUAUUGCACAAUGGGCGCAAGCCUGAUGCAGCGACGCCGCGUGAGGGAUGAAGGCCUUCGGGUUGUAAACCUCUUUCAGUAGGGAAGAAGCCGGCUUUUGGGCUGGUGACGGUACCUGCAGAAGAAGCGCCGGCUAACUACGUG